rnacentral:rRNA from 1 species
GAUGAACGCUGGCGGCGUGCCUAAUACAUGCAAGUCGAGCGAACAGACGAGGCUUUUGUUCCUCUGACGUUAGCGGCGGACGGGUGAUUAGUACGUGGAUAACCUACCUAUAAGCCUGGGUUAAUUUCGGGAAACCGGAGCUAAUACCGGGUAAUAUAUUGGACCGCAUGGUUGAAUGGUGUUGGAAGGUUUUGCUGGCACUUAUAGAUGUAUCCGCGCCGCGUUAGCUAGUUGGUUAGGUAACGGCGUAGGAAGGCGACGAGGCGUGGCCGCCCUGUGAGGGUGAGCGGCCACACUGGGACUGAGAGACGGGCCCGACUCCUACGGGAGGCGGAGGUAGGGAAUCUUCCGCACUGGGCGCAAGCCUGACGGACAAACGCCGCGUGAGUGAUGAAGGUCUUCGGAUCGUGAGACUCUCUUAUUAGAGAAGAGCAAAUGUGUCAGUUAGUAGGGACGUCUUGACGGUACCGAAUCAGAAAGCCACGGCUAACUACGUG